UUUUUUUUCCCUUUUAAAUGCCAACCAACCACCACCGAGGUGGUAGCAUGGUGGGAACGAGGCUUUGAUUCAAAACGCGGGCGUCGAUUAAAUGUGGGGACGGCAUACUCCUCGUCUGGUUUGCCCGGUGGAGUCGCUAUCUAGUUUGCCUUUACUUAGAUGGUGCUGGCCAGCGGGGAGAGGGCCCAGUGGGAGUUGCUACGCGGGUGAGGUUCUCCUCACCCUCCUCUUCCCUUUCCCUAAGCAAGAAAAAAAAUGCCAACCAACCAAAUGGAAAAAAAUAGAGAAGUAUCAACAAUAUCAGGUCUGAGAGUCACUGAUUGGAUCAUCUUGGGCGAGCCAUUGGGUUCCGAGGUUAAAUGCCAAAUCCGUCCAUUUAUAACCGGGUUGAUCCGGAACCGACCCAUGCAGACUGACUGAAUCACAAAAUCAUGCUUACUAGAAUUAUACAUGAUCUAAGCGUUAACUCAUGCUUUAACAACAACAUCACAGUCCUCAUUGAUUGCACCACCUCCAUCAUGAAGGCAAUCGAAGUUCAAUUCUCUGGAAUCAUCUUGCAAGGAACCGAAAAUGCAAAUCUUCCUCUGUGCGGCCGGUGCCAAGCUAUCUUGCAAGUGUAAGGCUAUUAACAUGCGUCCUGAUCCAUGGACAUGGCCCAUACCUCAGGUGUUUGAUCUGUAUGCCCAUUUCCAAUGCAGCGGACUCACAACUACGGCAAUUCAGAACCCAAGAUAUCGCAGGGACCUGCCAAACUCACAGCAACAAAUAGAGUUCAAAUGUCUCACUCAAGCCCGCCCUUUGCU
rnacentral:lncRNA from 1 species